UACGGAGGAUCCGAGCGUUAUCCGGAUUUAUUGGGUUUAAAGGGUGCGUAGGCGGGCUAUUAAGUCAGUGGUGAAAUCCUGCAGCUUAACUGCGGAACUGCCGUUGAUACUGAUAGUCUUGAGUUUGGUUAAGGUAGGCGGAAUGUGUAAUGUAGCGGUGAAAUGCUUAGAUAUUACACAGAACACCAAUUGCGUAGGCAGCUUACUGAGCCGACACUGACGCUGAGGCACGAAAGCGUGGGGAUCGAACAGGAUUAGAUACCCG
rnacentral:rRNA from 1 species